CGGGAGUUACGCCUACAUUGCGAUUGCGCCGUUGAACGCUUUAAAGUUUCGAUCGAAUCGGACGAAUAAAAACCGAGAUCGCUGUUGUUCUUCCCCAUGAACUAUGACCGUAAUCUUUGACCACGGCCAUAAUAACCCGUAAACGACCAUAAUAACGGUUACCGGCUCGUCAAAUCGCUUUUCUCGCAUUUAUUGUGGUAAUCUCGUUUUCGGCUCGUGUGUAUCACGUCGGCAUUCGAAGUUAAUGUAACUGAAACAAUGGGUAUAAAACAUGCUAACUUUCCUGUAAAUAGUGGUAAAUCUUCAUAAUCUGUCACAAUGUCACAUACUUCCCCUUACCUUACCACAUAAUUAAUAAACAAUAGGUACCUAAUCUGUAGUUAUUUAUAAUAAUAUAUAUUUUUAUUUAUUAUUACACCUUCUUAUAACAUGAAAAGUAUCCAAAUAUAUUUACAAAC